CUCACAGGCACCAGCAUUCUGGUCCCGGUGAGAGCAUCCUUACUCAGUGUGAAAGAGUCCAUGAUCAUUCUGAUCUAUCUGUACACACAGUCAAUUCUCAUUAUUCAUGGUAGUCAUGUUCUGCAAACUUGCCCCAAGCAAUGAAUUAUGGAAUAUUGAAUCAUUGCUCCCAAGGAAAAUAUAGGGUUAGGUUCCUGUGAGCCUCUGGCUAUCACAUUUUCAUUAACAAAUCACUACACAAACUUAUUUUAUGUGUGCUUCUGUUUAAAGAUGCCACAUGUAUAGCUAUAGUUUACUCCACCCCACCGCUAUGCACGCUCCAUUCACAGUAUUACUGGCAAUGUGUUCAUUCUGCAAGUGAGGGCAUCAGAUCACUUCCAGUUGUGCAGCAUUACAAGUGUUGCAGCCAUGCACAUCUUUGCACACAUAUGCUCUAUUGAGAAGUGAAAUUCCUGGGUCACAGGGGAAUGGCAUCUGUAAUUUUACUGAGUUUAUCCAAGUUGCUUUCCAAAGUAGUUCUAUCAGUUACUCUCCCACCAGUAACGUAGUGUGGAAGUAUGGCCAAAACAAAACGAAACUUUAAAUUACUCUUUUUCU
rnacentral:lncRNA from 1 species